CUCAGGACGAACGCUGGCGGCGUGCCUAAUACAUGCAAGUCGAGCGGACAGAAGGGAGCUUGCUCCCGGAUGUUAGCGGCGGACGGGUGAGUAACACGUGGGUAACCUGCCUGUAAGACUGGGAUAACUCCGGGAAACCGGAGCUAAUACCGGAUAGUUCCUUGAACCGCAUGGUUCAAGGAUGAAAGACGGUUUCGGCUGUCACUUACAGAUGGACCCGCGGCGCAUUAGCUAGUUGGUGAGGUAACGGCUCACCAAGGCGACGAUGCGUAGCCGACCUGAGAGGGUGAUCGGCCACACUGGGACUGAGACACGGCCCAGACUCCUACGGGAGGCAGCAGUAGGGAAUCUUCCGCAAUGGACGAAAGUCUGACGGAGCAACGCCGCGUGAGUGAUGAAGGUUUUCGGAUCGUAAAGCUCUGUUGUUAGGGAAGAACAAGUGCAAGAGUAACUGCUUGCACCUUGACGGUACCUAACCAGAAAGCCACGGCUAACUACGUGCCAGCAGCCGCGGUAAUACGUAGGUGGCAAGCGUUGUCCGGAAUUAUUGGGCGUAAAGGGCUCGCAGGCGGUUUCUUAAGUCUGAUGUGAAAGCCCCCGGCUCAACCGGGGAGGGUCAUUGGAAACUGGGAAACUUGAGUGCAGAAGAGGAGAGUGGAAUUCCACGUGUAGCGGUGAAAUGCGUAGAGAUGUGGAGGAACACCAGUGGCGAAGGCGACUCUCUGGUCUGUAAC
rnacentral:rRNA from 1 species